GACGAACGCUGGCGGCGUGCUUAACACAUGCAAGUCGAACGGAAAGGCCCUGCUUUUGUGGGGUGCUCGAGUGGCGAACGGGUGAGUAACACGUGAGUAACCUGCCCUUGACUUUGGGAUAACUUCAGGAAACUGGGGCUAAUACCGGAUAGGAGCUCCUGCUGCAUGGUGGGGGUUGGAAAGUUUCGGCGGUUGGGGAUGGACUCGCGGCUUAUCAGCUUGUUGGUGGGGUAGUGGCUUACCAAGGCUUUGACGGGUAGCCGGCCUGAGAGGGUCACCGGCCACAUUGGGACGGGGAUACGGCCCAGACUCCAACGGGAGGCAGCAGUGGGGAAUAUUGCACAAGGGGCGGAAGCCUGAUGCAGCAACGCCGCGUGCGGGAUGACGGCCUUCGGGUUGUAAACCGCUGUCGCCUGUGACGAAGCGUGAGUGACGGUAAUGGGUAAAGAAGCACCGGCUAACUACGUG
rnacentral:rRNA from 1 species